AGAGUGGCGGCUCCCUCUAUCUGCUGCUUUGUAUUCUUUAGAGUUCACUUCUCACUAGCCAAUCCCUUGUUACUCCAGUUCUACAUUUUACUUAUUAAUUCUUUAUACUCAACUUUCCCCGUUUAAGUUACUGUGUGGUUUCUACUUCCUGCUUGAACUGCAACUGAUACAGACCAUAAUCAUCUGAGGAGAAAAACAUACAUACAAGCUUAAAAAUUAUAAAAAUUAACACUGCCUUGAAUAAACAACACUACUCAC
rnacentral:lncRNA from 10 species